UACAGAGGUGGCGAGCGUUUGUCCGGAAUUAUUGGGCGUAAAGAGCUCGUAGGUGGUUUGUUACGUCUGCUGUGAAAACCCGAGGCUCAACCUCGGGCCUGCAGUCGAUACGGGCAAACUAGAGUACUGCAGGGGAGACUGGAAUUCCUGGUGUAGCGGUGAAAUGCGCAGAUAUCAGGAGGAACACCGGUGGCGAAGGCGGGUCUCUGGGCAGUAACUGACGCUGAGGAGCGAAAGCGUGGGGAGCGAACAGG
rnacentral:rRNA from 1 species